rnacentral:tRNA from 2 species
GGGCGGUUAGCUCAGUCGGUAGAGCGUCUCGUUUACACCGAGAAUGUCGGCGGUUCGAGCCCGUCACCGCCCA